AUACGUUCCCGGGCCUUGUACACACCGCCCGUCAAGCCAUGAAAGCCGGGGGUGCCUGAAGUCCGUGACCGCAAGGAUCGGCCUAGGGCAAAACUGGUGAUUGGGGCUAAGUCGUAACAAGGUAGCCGUACCGGAAGGUGCGGCUGGAACACCUCCUUUCUGGAG
rnacentral:rRNA from 1 species